rnacentral:piRNA from 1 species
UGCUUUGGAUUAAGUACCAUAUGGUGUUUU